UACGAAAGGUGCGAGCGUUAAUCGGAAUUACUGGGCGUAAAGCGUGCGUAGGCGGCUAUUUAAGUCGGAUGUGAAAGCCCCGGGCUCAACCUGGGAGGUGCAUCCGAUACUGGGUAGCUAGAGUGUAGUAGAGGGAGGUGGAAUUUCCGGUGUAGCGGUGAAAUGCGUAGAGGUCGGAAGGAACACCAGUGGCGAAGGCGGCUUACUGGUCCGGUACUGACGCUGAGGUGCGAAAGCGUGGGGAGCAAACAGG
rnacentral:rRNA from 1 species